GACGAACGCUGGCGGCGUGCUUAACACAUGCAAGUCGAACGGAAAGGCCCUGCUUUUGUGGGGUGCUCGAGUGGCGAACGGGUGAGUAACACGUGAGUAACCUGCCCUUGACUUUGGGAUAACUUCAGGAAACUGGGGCUAAUACCGGAUAGGAGCUCCUGCCGCAUGGUGGGGGUUGGAAAGUUUCGGCGGUUGGGGAUGGACUCGCGGCUUAUCAGCUUGUUGGUGGGGUAGUGGUUUACCAAGGCUUUGACGGGUAGCCGGCCUGAGAGGGUGACCGGCCACAUUGGGACUGAGAUACGGCCCAGACUCCUACGGGAGGCAGCAGUGGGGAAUAUUGCACAAUGGGCGGAAGCCUGAUGCAGCAACGCCGCGUGCGGGAUGACGGCCUUCGGGUUGUAAACCGCUUUCGCCUGUGACGAAGCGUGAGUGACGGUAAUGGGUAAAGAAGCACCGGCUAACUACGUG
rnacentral:rRNA from 1 species